GAGAGAAACAUCCUUCCUCCCAAACACACACCUCCACCUGAGCCCAACCUGAGCAACGACCUGCGCAAGGUCAACUGCAGCCCCGACACUUUUCGUUGUACACUCACUAACAUUCCUCAGACUCAAGCGCUGUUGAAUAAAGCUCGUCUGCCUCUUGGAUUACUGCUGCAUCCCUUCAGAGAUUUAACGCAGUUACCAGUCAUCACCUCUAACACUAUAGUUCGUUGUCGUUCGUGUCGGACGUAUAUAAACCCUUUUGUUUCGUUUCUGGAUCAGCGCAGGUGGAAGUGUAAUCUGUGUUACAGAGUCAAUGAUGGUAAGAGUCUUACAA